GUCUCCUCCCCCUCCUCCUCCUCCUCCUCUUCCUCCUCCUCCCGCUCCUCGAUGCUCCGCCGCUCGCGGCUGGGGGGUCCGGGGCCGCGUCUCCUCUCCUCCCUCCGCCUCUCCUCUUUCCUCCUUCCUGCUGCCUCUUCUUUUAAAGCGGAUUCUUUGGCCACAAAUAGCAACUCGGCUGCCCCCCUCGGUGCCUCCCUCCCCUUCUCUUCUUCCCCCCAAAAGUGAAGCGCACGCGAGGAGCUGAAAAGCUGUGCAGGGAUGAUGGACCCUUGCCCCCUGUGACCUAAGGAUGGAUCCAGAAAUCUCAGCCUCCCCAUAGGUGAUUCCACCCAAGAUGUAAACUCCUACUUGGCUUUGUCAUUGCCACAUGUGCCCCCAUAAACUGGCAAUCCCACUUUCCUCAUCCAAAGUUGCAUGUUAGAGAAACAGAAAGUUUUAAAACCCCUAAUAUUCCUUUGCUGUUACUUUUGUGGGAAAUGUAUCACUCUGCCUGCAGAUCUGACCUCAUUUAAGAAGAACCCAGCUGGUAAAUCUGACUGCUAUCUGGGAACAUAGUUGAGGAUAUAUCAUCUUACACCACUGGUAGUGAUUUAAACUAGCAAGUAGAAAAGGGACCCAGAAAUCAGGGGAUACAGAGGACAGUACAAGUAAAUGGCAUAAGCCCAACUUUUCUGACACUGUGAAGUCCUAGAUGUUCUUGUCUCUACUACAACCAAACAUCAAACAUCUUAGAGAAAGAAGUAGGGAUGGGUCAAGGUGACUGGAGAGUCUGAGUUAUUAUUAUACCAAUGAGACUGAGAAUUAUUCAGGGUGAUGCUGCUGAAAAACGGGAGAUACAGCAAAUAGAGAAGCCAAAGUUUCUCUGCACAUCUGAGUAGUAAUGGAAGUGAGACUGCAGCCUGCUACACUCAUGUUAAUAUAUUCAGAGCAGAUUGGCAACAAAAGAGUGUCCUAAUGCUGCAGCAUCUAGUAAACUUCUGGACUGGUUUACCAUUUGGAAAUUUUAAGUCAAAGAACAUCAGAAGCAGGCUAAUCUUUUGUUGAAAUUACCUCGUUUUUACAGGUAAAGAAACGAAGACCCUGAGAAUUUAAAAUCAUCCAACUAUUUGGUGCCAGAAGCAGGACAAGAACUCAGACAUCAUGAUCCAGUGCCCUCCAUCCCACCAGCUAUUCAUCAUCACCUCCACAUUCUGGAUCAAAGAAGCCAGUUUUCCAACUUAUCAAUGAGCAAUACAUAUAGAAUAUUUUUAAAACUCCAAAUACUUUUAUGAAGGAAAAAUGAAGCAAUAGGACAAGACAUUUUCUUCGUUUCCUUCCAGCUCUAACAUUCUGUGAUAAAUAGCACACAGGAGCUUUGCUAUAGCACUACCCCCUCUAGUGCAUAAUUCAGCAUACGAUGAGUAUGAGUCUGUUUUGGACCCCAUCCAAAGGAGUUAGUUCCUAGAAGUACUUGGAAGAUUUAUUCUCAUUUAUCAUGAGGCAUCCUAACAGGAGACUAAAAAUAAUCACGAUGACAAUAAUAGUAAUCAGUUGUUACACUUGUAUUAUGUACUAAGCAUCGUGCUAAGCAUGUUAAAGUUCACCUGUUUUUGAAAAGGCACUUCAUGACCUUAUGUGGGUUGCGAAUCUAGUGGGUCAUAAACAAUUUCUGAAAUGAAAGAAAAGUAGGAAAAAACACAGAGUGCAUUAUACAUACUAAGUUGUUUUAUUUUUUAUUUUUUUAUUUUUUUUGCAAAACUUCCUUUUUGAUCAUGUGGCUAGUGAUUAAAAGUUUGGAAGCACUGCCUCGUUUCCAAUCUUAACUGCCUUGCUAGUUAAGUAUUAUUAGCCCCAUUAUAUAAGUGAGGAAACAGGACGAGAGAGGAUAAGUAAUUUGGCCAAGCUGACACAGUGAGUGGCCAAGCUAGAAUUUUGAACCUAGAUCUGUUUGACUUCAAAUCCAAUAUUUUCACUUCUAUAGUGAUGAUAAAUUAUUGACCAAGGUAUGGAAUAAAUUGUUGCUAAUC
ensembl:lncRNA PTPRD-AS1 PTPRD antisense RNA 1